UACGUAGGGUGCAAGCGUUAAUCGGAAUUACUGGGCGUAAAGCGUGCGCAGGCGGUUAUGUAAGACAGAUGUGAAAUGCCCGGGCUUAACCUGGGAACUGCAUUUGUGACUGCAUGGCUAGAGUUUGGCAGAGGGGGGUAGAAUUCCACGUGUAGCAGUGAAAUGCGUAGAUAUGUGGAGGAACACCGAUGGCGAAGGCAGCCCCCUGGGUCAAGACUGACGCUCAUGCACGAAAGCGUGGGGAGCAACAAGGA
rnacentral:rRNA from 1 species